AAAAGUCGUAACAAGGUCUCCGUUGGUGAACCAGCGGAGGGAUCAUUACUGAGUGCUACAACUCUCCAAACCAUGUGAACAUUACCUCUCGUUGCCUCGGCGGACGCGGCUCCCCCUCCGCGGGGAAACCGUCCGCCAGAGGACCCAAAAACUCUGUUGCAUUAUAUGGCAUUAUCUGAGUGGCGUAAGCAAAUCAAAUCAAAACUUUCAACAACGGAUCUCUUGGUUCUG
rnacentral:misc_RNA from 1 species